rnacentral:rRNA from 1 species
GGAAUAUUGGACAAUGGGCGAAAGCCUGAUCCAGCCAUGCCGCGUGUGUGAAGAAGGUCUUCGGAUUGUAAAGCACUUUAAGUUGGGAGGAAGGGCAGUUACCUAAUACGUGAUUGUCUUGACGUUACCGACAGAAUAAGCACCGGCUAACUCUGUGCCAGCAGCCGCGGUAAUACAGAGGGUGCAAGCGUUAAUCGGAAUUACUGGGCGUAAAGCGCGCGUAGGUGGUUUGUUAAGUUGAAUGUGAAAUCCCCGGGCUCAACCUGGGAACUGCAUCCAAAACUGGCAAGCUAGAGUAUGGUAGAGGGUAGUGGAAUUUCCUGUGUAGCGGUGAAAUGCGUAGAUAUAGGAAGGAACACCAGUGGCGAAGGCGACUACCUGGACUGAUACUGACACUGAGGUGCGAAAGCGUGGGGAGCAAACAGGAUUAGAUACCCGAG